UAAAGGAAAGUAGUGUGUAAAUGUAACAUGUUUGUUUAGGCUGUUGUCUAAUGGAUUAACUAUGAGAUCAAAAGCUUGGGAGAGACAUAUGAUUAUGGAUAUGAAAACGCUAACAUGAGCUAAGUUGAAACUCUGUCCACCCUGAUAUAUGACACAGCCACUGGGGAGGGAACUGAACACUUGGAGCUGUUUGGGUUGGACUGUAUAUAAAGUUAAUUGCGAACUUGUGAUGAGUCACAUGUCUUACCUACAUCUCAUUAGUAAUGGCUAAAAUACGUAAGCAUUAAGGUAACCCAAAUAUAGAUCAAGAUUUAGUUCAGCCUUCACCAAAGUCUACUAGAAUAUCAUUGGAAAAAUCUUUGGAACAGUAUUCUAACUUAACCACAAUAGUAAUACUCAGACAUAUACUAAUAUAACAGUUUACCCAGUAUGGGUGUUCUAUUAGUCUCUGUGUUGACACUAACAGUUUUAGCUUUUGCUUGCAGGCCUAUGAUAAUAAAGUGAGGGCAAAACCAUUGGAAGCCUCACAGCCCCACAUUUCCUGACAGAGGAGAAGGACUAAGAGUGUGAUGGUCAGGCACCAUCCCAGGAGCAGGAGAAUUGACAUUUUGAGCAUUAGCUCUUCACCAGGAAUGAGAAGAUGGGCUUGUGAACAAUUACUGAUGGCUAAGUAGGACUGUCAUUGCAGAUUCUGGAGACAGAGGAGAGAUGGCUGAGGAAGGGAAGUUUGCCUAGCCUUCUCCAACAGAGGCCUGCAGAUCCUGGUCAAGGGUGCAACAAGCAGGUGUACUCUCUUGGAAGACUGUCAAAGGUAUCCGCACCACCAGACAUGCCAACCUAAUAAAAAACUGCACUCAGUUUAAUGCUAACUCAAGGCUGUGGAGAACUUGGCUGCAGUGCCAGAAGAGGGUCAAGGUAUUCCCAUCUUUACAAGGACUCCCAGGAUGUAGGAUUGAAAAUGCCUUGGAAACAGAGAAAGAGAGAGAAAGAGACACAUAUUAGAGUUGUUGUCAUCUGUGGGGGGAUAAGGGUGUCCUGCAAUUGGCUAUCAGGCAGGAUGCUGUGAAACACUGACCACUGAUUACUGAUGGAACUUGCAACAACUUAAAAAUGCUGCAAGAUUAGCAGGAGAAGAAAUCAGAGAGUGGACCUUCCUAUUUCAAGUUUGUUUAGAACUUCAGAGGAUGAGGAUUUUCAACAGUCGUGGAACAUUAUGAUUCAACAAAAUGAACCCAUUGAAAUCUGAGUGUGAAUGCAGACUGUUUCCUAUAAAGACUGUAGCUCUGUGCAGAGCAUGAUGUAAUGCAUAUAUGCAUUAUGGGAUUGUUAUUUGAGAUUAAGACAUUAAUAAUCUAUUCUGUACUUUACAGCAUGAGUCAUCCACUGCUUAUCCACAUGUUAACGUUUAUUUCAGCUUGUUUUGUACAGUUAAAGGUUUAAAACUUAAAAUCUUGUCAUAUGAUCAUUAAAUUACUGAGAGUUCAAUGGUUACUGGGAAUUAAAAUCUCUUGCUUAAAGUUAGCAGGUUUGGCAGGGCUGGAAGAUUGCCCUUGCUUUUAGUGUCACUAUAAACACUUUUGUAUAAUCCAUAGAAACGCUAGAAUAUGGCUACUGGUCAGUCAGCACAGCAAGUCCACACGAAUCGCCGAAGAACAUCACACCCAGACUUACCUCCCCCUACCCUACAAACCUGCAUUUCCCAAGGUUAACCCACACAUCCCUUGACAUUAUAGGCAAUUUGGUG